UCCCUGGAGGACUAGUUGAUAGGCCACGGCGCUCUCACCGCCGUGGCCCGGGUUCGAUUCCCGGCCAGGGAA